rnacentral:rRNA from 1 species
UACGGGGGGGGCAAGCGUUGUUCGGAAUUACUGGGCGUAAAGGGCUCGUAGGCGGCCAACUAAGUCAGACGUGAAAUCCCUCGGCUUAACCGGGGAACUGCGUCUGAUACUGGAUGGCUUGAGUUUGGGAGAGGGAUGCGGAAUUCCAGGUGUAGCGGUGAAAUGCGUAGAUAUUGGGAGGAACACCGGUGGCGAAGGCGGCUCACUGGCCCGGUACUGACGCUGAGACGCGAAAGCGUGGGGAGCAAACAGG